rnacentral:rRNA from 1 species
CCUACGGGUGGCAGCAGUGGGGAAUAUUGGGCAAUGGAGGCAACUCUGACCCAGCAACGCCGCGUGAGCGAUGAAGGUCUUCGGAUUGUAAAGCUCUUUAAGCGGGGACGAAGAAAGUGACUGUACCCGCAGAAUAAGCCUCGGCUAACUACGUGCCAGCAGCCGCGGUAAUACGUAGGAGGCAAGCGUUAUCCGGAAUGACUGGGCGUAAAGGGUGCGUAGGUGGUUUGGCAAGUUGGUAGCGUAAUCCCGGGGCUCAACCUCGGUGCUACUACCAAAACUGUUGAACUUGAGUGCAGGAGGGGUGAAUGGAAUUCCCAGUGUAGCGGUGAAAUGCUUAGAGAUCAUACAGAACACCGAUUGCGAAGGCAGCUUACCAAGCUACUUCUGACGUUGAGGCACGAAAGCGUGGGGAGCAAACAGGAUUAGAUACCCCAGUAGUC